rnacentral:rRNA from 1 species
UACGGGGGGGGCAAGCGUUGUUCGGAAUUACUGGGCGUAAAGGGCUCGUAGGCGGCCAACUAAGUCAGACGUGAAAUCCCUCGGCUUAACCGGGGAACUGCGUCUGAUACUGGAUGGCUUGAAUCCGGGAGAGGGAUGCGGAAUUCCAGGUGUAGCGGUGAAAUGCGUAGAUAUCGGGAGGAACACCAGUGGCGAAGGCGGUUGCCUGGAGCUUUGCUGACGCUGAUGCGCGAAAGCGUGGGGAGCGAGCCGG